rnacentral:rRNA from 1 species
AACGAACGCUGGCGGCAUGCCUAACACAUGCAAGUCGAACGAACCCUUCGGGGUUAGUGGCGCACGGGUGCGUAACGCGUGGGAAUCUGCCCUUGGCUUCGGAAUAACAGUUAGAAAUGACUGCUGAUACCGGAUGAUGUCUUCGGACCAAAGAUUUAUCGGCCAGGGAUGAGCCCGCGUAGGAUUAGGUAGUUGGUGGGGUAAAGGCCUACCAAGCCGACGAUCCUUAGCUGGUCUGAGAGGAUGAUCAGCCACACUGGGACUGAGACACGGCCCAGACUCCUACGGGAGGCAGCAGUGGGGAAUAUUGGACAAUGGGCGCAAGCCUGAUCCAGCAAUGCCGCGUGAGUGAUGAAGGCCUUAGGGUCGUAAAGCUCUUUUACCCGGGAUGAUAAUGACAGUACCGGGAGAAUAAGCCCCGGCUAACUCCGUGCCAGCCGCCGCAGUAAGAC